CUGCCUCCGCGCAACCUGACUCCGCGCACCGCUCAGCCCGAGCAUGUAAUGAGCUACAGAUGCUGCAGAUAGGAUAAUUAAAUACACCAAAAUAUUCGAGGGGCUCUCGGGUUGUGACAAAGCGACAGAGGCAGCGAACUUGCUGGGGGAUGCUGUCCUCCAUUCUGGGGGGGAGGCGAUGGAGCCAGCAGCUGCCUGGCCCUGGUGGCCAGGCGAGCUCUGCCGUGGCACAGAGCCCGUGCAAAUGCUCGAUUUAUUCGGUUUGAGUGUUGUCUUAAGUGAAGAAGACUCACUUUGGACUGCAAAAUGUUAUAAAAUAGUGCUUCCUAAGGAAAAUUUCUCAGGGAAGCCCCUCUCAGGAGCUCUGAGGGGAGCACGACGUGGCGAACACCAGGCAGUGCUGCCCCUUCCCUCCAGGCUGGCAUCGCCUCGCAGCACCGGCACGCUGCUCCAGGACAGGGCGAAGCCGCGAGGUGUCACUUCAUGCUUCCCAUGGACGUGCCACCAGGAGGACGCAGUCGUGGCUGGAAGCCAUCCCCGACAGCCCUGGGUCUGGGUUUCAAGCUGGCUGCGGUGGUGUGGGAAGAGCUGGAGGAACCUCACUCAGGAGGCGAGAGGAGCCGGGACGAGCAGCCUUCCCCUUCAAACGCAGCAGCCCGGGGCCCGUCCGAGUAUUUGGCUUAAAAGGGAUAAAUGGGAGCAUGGAGCCGAGCAGCGGGAUCAGCCCCUCAAUAGGAUUUCAUGCGUUUUCAAGUGAUAUCUGUCUUGAUUCGAAAAACAAAAAACAACGAAAAGACAACAACCAAAAACCUUCACAGUGCACAAAGUGAGAAAUGUGGCUUUAAUUUGGGCAACUAAUCGCUUCCAGCUGAACCAGCCAUUAAAAACAGUUGAAGAAUUACAAUGUAAAUAGAUUAAUGCAGACAAAGCAACAUGUGCACUAUUCCAUGUCUUCUUGUUACCUACAAAAUACUUCAGCAGUGACACACUGUUAGUCUAAGCCACUUGUUAGGUUCUGUGCUAAUCAGCUAAAAUUAAAUAAACAUGACUGAUAAAAACGAAUGUUGUGUUUG
rnacentral:lncRNA from 1 species